rnacentral:lncRNA from 1 species
AGGAAGGGACAGACAUCUCUCUUUACCCUCCAACGGCAGGAUCUGAGUGAGGUUCUUAACACUCAGAGCCUCUUUCCCCUCCCUUGUCCUGGGGGCAGGGGUACAAUAUAAAGACAGGCACCCCUAGAUGUCAAGUUCACUGGGAAGGGCCAGAGGAGUGUCAGAGAUUGGGCCUGACCAGAGACUGAAGUGGGGACAAGAAAGAUUAGAGCUUGAAGAAGACAGGAGUCCUGGUGAGCAGGGGACAGGAGGGGAGGCGAAUGUCCGCCCACAGCCCUGAAGCCGAGAGUGAGCAGCCUUACCGCUGCCUGAUAAAUACAGCCGUUACCCAGGCCGUAAAUUAGAGUCAGGGUCCCAGAUUAGCCCUGGAAUUAAGUACUGUAAGAAUCUGAGGAGAAAAAAAAAUCACAUAAAAUUCAAUUUAAAGAUUAAACAGUUAUGCUUUCCGGUGAAGCCGGCCUCCUGAGAUGAUUAAAUCGCCCCGCAUUUGGGCAGGAGCUCUCACCUGAAGGUCUCAAGCUGGCAGCAAGUUACGCAGUGGGUUGAAACAGGGUGCCCCUGGUCCCUAAGGCUUCAGGUCCUUGGGGAAGGACCAGCUAUGCCUGCUUGUCCCCCACCCAUCAGUCAAGCCCCACUCCAAUCAUCCCCUGCUCUUGGGUCACAAAAGGAGAAACCAGGAGGAGAGGAGGGCUGCCAGGGAAGCCCAUCCCCAUCUUGGGGAGCUGAGAGUUUGCAGAUUGCCGACGUGACCAUGCACAGCACUGGGAGUAUACAGAUUGUGUCCAGGAUGGAAGAUUCUCAUCCCUUGGGUUCUAAGCCUGGCUCUGUCACUUCCGGCCUGUGUGUCUGUAGAAAGGAGCCUUCACCUCUCUGGGCCCCAAGCUUCCGGGUUGGACAAAGUGCCACGGUGCUGUGUAAAGAGCUUGGAACGGCGUCCGGCACAUGGUAAGCACCCAGUAAAUCUUAGGUGUCAUUACUCAACACAGAGGAAACGAAAAUUAACAGGAACUUCAACGAGGACACUUUGUACUUUUCACUAUCACUCUGUUUCAUAUUAAACGGUGUUUGUGGGAGCGUGUACCGUGCCACCCUGUUUAAUUGGUUUAGAAGCACUUCUGAAAGCUCACCGCUGCCCCGAGCCCAGGCAUGAGGUUUCAACGUGAUUAACAAAGAUGUCCGUGGUCAUUUCAUAAAAUUGUCGAGCGUCAGGUACUUAGUGAGGAACAUCAUCACAUCGUUUCUGUGGGAGAAGUAGAUCAGAUUUAGAUCAUUUCGGCUAAUAAGCGCAUUUUACAAGCCCAGGCUCUCCCAGGCCAGGUGGAAAAAACAGCUCAGAAAUGGGAAUUCACCGCAGACCUUGUUCACUCCCUGGCGUUGCUCACCAGAGUCGGCACAGAAGCUCACCUCCCACCGUUGUGAAGCUAGAUGGAAUUCUCAGCUCCCAGG